UUUUCCUACGGGGGGCAGCAGUGGGGAAUAUUGGGCAAUGGGCGCAAGCCUGACCCAGCAACGCCGCGUGAAGGAAGAAGGCUUUCGGGUUGUAAACUUCUUUUAUUGAGGACGAAACAAAUGACGGUACUCAAUGAAUAAGCCACGGCUAACUACGUGCCAGCAGCCGCGGUAAUACGUAGGUGGCAAGCGUUAUCCGGAUUUACUGGGUGUAAAGGGAGCGUAGACGGCAUGGCAAGUCAGAUGUGAAAGCCCGGGGCUCAACCCCGGGACUGCAUUUGAAACUGUCAGGCUGGAGUGCAGGG
rnacentral:rRNA from 1 species